rnacentral:rRNA from 1 species
GUUACGGUGGUCACAGCGAUAGGGAAACGCCCGGCCCCAUCCCGAACCCGGAAGCUAAGCCUGUCAGCGCCGAUGAUACUGCCCAUUCGGGUGGAAAAGUAGGACACUGCCGAACAU